rnacentral:rRNA from 1 species
AGAAUCAACGCUGGCGGCGUGCCUCAGACAUGCAAGUCGAACGCGAAAGUCCCCUUCGGGGGACAAGUAGAGUGGCGCACGGGUGAGUAACACGUAGGUAAUCUACCUUUGGAUGGGGAAUAACAACCGGAAACGGUUGCUAAUACCGCAUAAUGCAGCGGCACCUAAUGGUGACAGUUGUUAAAGCGGGGGAUCGAAAGACCUCGCGUCUGAAGAGGAGCCUGCGGCGAUUAGCUAGUUGGUAAGUAUGGCUUACAAGCUACGAUCC